GCCAUCAACACACCGAGCUUAGAAGGAUGAAAGGGGCGAUGGCGGUGAAGGGGGGAAUCCCAACGACGACUGUAACGACGUCAUCAGUGCUCUCGGUUGUCUCGAAACGCCCCCGUAGUCAUCAGCUUAAAGUUUUCUAGGCAGCCGGCAAAGACGAAGACGCAGCAGGAUAAAGGACUAAGUGCACUUGACAAACUCACACGCGGCGGCUCAGGCGAAGACAAUGACAAUACAAACAUCGAGUAACAGGGAAAAAUGGCCAAAACGGCGCAAGGACAAGCUUGGCAAAGAGUUACGGCUCCUACUCCUUCGGUCUUGGUCCUGGUGGUGGUCCUGGUCCUGGAUGAGAGCGGAGCAUCGUAAACCGGCGACGGCAACAUGAAAAUCUUGUCAUAUUUUUCUUGUUUACUGUCAACAUCUUUGUACUUGAAGUCCCAUUAUGUUAAUUAUGAUGAAGUAAACAGGA
rnacentral:sRNA from 1 species